ACUACCGUUUACUGCAAGGGAGCCAGCGCAGCAUCCUCUCAGCUUUGCUUGGCCUCAGCAGUGAGUUGAAGCUCGGCUUGGCCAGCCUGGGAGAGCAGGGACGGCAGGGCCUGUGGAUGGGACGCAUCACAGGAAAUGAAGACAUUGCCAGGACCUCCCAGCCGAGAAAAUAUGAACAAGAUGCCUCGUGCCGCUGAUGAACUCCCCGCUCUUAGGGCCUCGAGGGAAGGCAGGAAGAUGGGCCGCUAGCCCGGGCACUCCCAUGCUUGUUCUCAGCUGCGCUUCACCCCCGGAGUGUGGGAAGUCCCUGGCUGCCGUGGUCAGAAAUUGCCAUAACAUGCCCUGGCUCCCGUGGUCAGAAAUUGCCCAUUCAAUAGGCAGAGAGGCAUGGGAGCGAUAUGGAAAGGGCUCUGGGUUCCAGCCCAGCUGCGCAGUCAACCAUGAGACCUGGGGUGUCUGUUCACCUUUCUGGGCCUUGGUUUUGUUGCCUAUGCAAUGAGAUUGUUGGGCUUCUGGACUCCCCACGUGUCUUCCAUCUAAUUCUAAUUUCUGAGGAAGGAAAUGGAAAA
rnacentral:lncRNA from 10 species